rnacentral:rRNA from 1 species
GUGGGGAAUAUUGGACAAUGGGCGAAAGCCUGAUCCAGCCAUGCCGCGUGUGUGAAGAAGGUCUUCGGAUUGUAAAGCACUUUAAGUUGGGAGGAAGGGUAGUAACCUAAUACGUUGCUACUUUGACGUUACCGACAGAAUAAGCACCGGCUAACUUCGUGCCAGCAGCCGCGGUAAUACGAAGGGUGCAAGCGUUAAUCGGAAUUACUGGGCGUAAAGCGCGCGUAGGUGGUUCAGUAAGUUGGAAGUGAAAUCCCCGGGCUCAACCUUGUAACUGCAUUCAAAACUGCUGAGCUAGAGUACGGUAGAGGGUGGUGGAAUUUCCUGUGUAGCGGUGAAAUGCGUAGAUAUAGGAAGGAACACCAGUGGCGAAGGCGACCACCUGGACUGAUACUGACACUGAGGUGCGAAAGCGUGGGGAGCAAACAGGAUUAGAAACCCCGGUAGUCC